rnacentral:rRNA from 1 species
UCCACGCCGUAAACGAUGGAUACUAGUUGUUGGGAUUUAUCUCAGUGACUAAGCGAAAGUGAUAAGUAUCCCACCUGGGGAGUACGGUCGCAAGACUGAAACUCAAAGGAAUUGACGGGGGCCCGCACAAGCGGUGGAGCAUGUGGUUUAAUUCGAUGAUACGCGAGGAACCUUACCAGGGCUUAAAUGUAGUCUGACAGCUUUAGAGAUAGAGUUUUCUUCGGACAGAUUAC